rnacentral:rRNA from 1 species
GACGAACGCUGGCGGCGUGCUUAACACAUGCAAGUCGAACGGAAAGGCCCUGCUUUUGUGGGGUGCUCGAGUGGCGAACGGGUGAGUAACACGUGAGUAACCUGCCCUUGACUUUGGGAUAACUUCAGGAAACUGGGGCUAAUACCGGAUAGGAGCUCCUGCUGCAUGGUGGGGGUUGGAAAGUUUCGGCGGUUGGGGAUGGACUCGCGGCUUAUCAGCUUGUUGGUGGGGUAGUGGCUUACCCAGGCUUUGACGGGUAGCCGGCCUGAGAGGGUGACCGGCCACAUUGGGACUGAGGUACGGCCCAGACUCCUACGGGAGGCAGCAGUGGGGAAUAUUGCACAAUGGGCGGAAGCCGGAUGCAGCAGCGCCGCGUGCGGGAUGACGGCCUUCGGGUUGUAAACCGCUUUCGGCUGUGACGAAGCGUUUGUGACGGUAAUGAGUAAAGAAGCACCGGCUAACUACGUG